ensembl:lncRNA
AAAAAAAAAAGAGUGCCAUAAACGGGUGAAAAUGAGAUAUCAUAACAUAAAAAAUAAAGACCAUGACGCCGGUACGAUCAUUAAUAUUGUUCAAUUUCAUGAAACUUAUUUGUGCCGAAUAUAUUUCAAAAGAAUAAAAUAAAAUAUGAUACAAUGAAACAAACUACACACGCACAAACACACCUUUAUUUAAAAAUAAAUAAAUAAAUAAAUAAAUACAAUAAAAUAAAAUAAAACAUAUCUGAUCCUGCAUUUUCUCCUAAUAUACCGAAUAUCAGAUUAUUCCCAACUCUAUCAAAUAGAGUCAAAUUGAUCUGAUCAUUAUGAGAUUAUUAUAAAAGGAAUAAAAGGUUAUUGCGAGGCAUAUUUACCCCCUCCCCCCCAUCACAGAUUCAAAAUAUGAAGACGAACACGUCUUCGCCCUUUCCGUCGAUGGCGAACGAGGCCAACUUUUUAUGCGUCUGCCUUCGGUGCAUUAGCUUAAAGCAUUUCCGCUCCAUAACUCAGUAAUAUAAACUCUGGUGUACAAGCUGGAGGAAUUUAGCAGAGCAAUAAAAUAAGCUCUUAAUAAGAGCUGCGUAGUAAAGCUGAAGAAGCAGGCGAUAAACUGCAGCAAUGGCAGAGCCUGGGAUAAUUUAUACAGGAAGUGAAGUGCCCAGAGCUGGGGCUAAUGCACAUAUCUACUCUCGCUAUACAAAAAAAAAAUAAAAAUCUCAGUGAAAGGUCUGAGCCAAUGACUGCAUAUACGUAUAAGAGUGAUCGACACGGUGCCACGGACACGCCCCUGCUUAAGACGGCACGUCGAACACUGUCUCAAAGUGUAUAAUUUUCGCCGGAGUAUUCAUUUUAACGGUGUCUGGGAAAGAUCACGACCGACUGAGCUACUAUAGUCCCCUCCAAAAGUACUGGAACAGCAAAGCCGAUUCUACAUAGCUUUCAUUUCCUCAUAUUUACAUCUAGAUGUGUUCAACAACUCGGCACCUUUUGUUUGAACCCACCCCCAAGUGAUCAACAACAUUGGAACAUGUGACUGACAGGUGUUUUUCGUUACCCAGGCGUGACGUGUUAGAUUGAUUGUUUAAACAAUAAAUAGCUCUGAACAUCUACUCUCGGUUUCACCCGUGAAGACUGUAUUUUGUCGUUAAAAAGGAUAAACCAACAUGAAGACCAGUGAGAUGUCUACAGGAGAAAAGCAAGCCAUUUUGAAGUUGAGAAAAGCUGGGAAAUCCAACCAGAGCCAGUGCACAAGCAUUGCGCGUAGCCUAUGCAGCAAUCUGGAACGUCCUGUGACUUUGUUCGGUCAUGUUAGGUGUUAGAUGUUACCGGAAAAAACUGCAACGCACUCCCCGCUACAGCAAAACAAAAGACGGCUUUGCUGCAGAAUAAUUUCCGAGAGCUUCCGUCGUGUGCUGGAAAGUCCGCGUACGUUAACGUGGCCCCAAAAAAAAGUUUAAACACUUCAUGAACCACGCCCUUUCGUUAAUCAUCAAAUGGAUCCUAUAAAAUGCAUUUAUCAUAAGGACAAAUAUGACGGUCAACUAAAUUUGUAAAAGCGACACAACAAUGUUCCCGUGAGUAAUUUGUAGAGCUGUAACUUAAAAACUGAUUUUGGAACCUUUUCAUGUUCACUAACAUGGAAAUGGGGCGGGGUUAAACACUGUACUGCAGACAGCCACCAGAGGGCCUCGGAGACAUAUUGGCUUCACUAUUAUGACAUUAUAUAUAUAUAUAUAUGUCAUUGUUCUGAGCUGUAGUUGUUAGCAUGUUCGCAUCACGCCUCCAGGGUCGGGGGUUCGAUUCCCACCGUGACCCUGUGUGUGUGGAGUUCGCAUGUUCUCCCCGUGCUGCGGGGGUUUCCUCCGGGUACUCCGGUUUCCUCCCCCAGUCCACAGACAUGCAUGGUAGGCUGAUUGGCGUGUCUAAAGUGUCCGUAGUGUAUGAACGGGUGUGUGAGUGUGUGUGUGAGUGUGCCCUGCGAUAUAUUGGCGCCCUGUCCAGGGUGUACCCCGCCUUGUUCCCCAUGCUCCCUGGGAUAGGCUCCAGGUUCCCCCGUGACCCUGAAGCAGGGUCAGGAGCAGUAAUCCACCGUGCAAGUCCCCGUGAAUGAGACGUCGCUAUAGAAACAAUAACGUACUUAAGCCACGACAUUAAUAUAAAAGUCCAGACGUGUAUUGACGCUCCAGCAUCGAUCUGUUAAACAGCGCGAACUAAAACGAAUUCGCUUGAAGGCCACGCAACUCGGGAGAAAGUAAUGAACUUGGCAGAAUCGACUCUAGUUUGAGUCGUGGUGGGGUUUUUUUUUUCCCCCGUCCGUUAUUUCCCUCCUUCAGGAAGACACUUUGAUGGACGUUAUCUCUUCCGCCUUAAUCAAUUAAAAAGUAAUUACAAUUGCAAAUGGUUGCACUUCUCGGUAAUCGCUUUGAACUCGGUCGGUGAAAAGAUACAAUAUAUUUGAGGCGAUAAUAAUAAAUAAAUAGCUUUAAUAUGGCGCCUCGGAGGGCGAGCGAGGCGAGAGCGAGAGGAGGAAGUGUUAUUGAUCGGCUCUGCUGCUUUGUAUUCUGUUCACUAAUAAUUACCAGUACAGCCUAUCCAAUUACACACACACACACACACACACACACACACACACAGGUUCAUUAUGCAAAUAAGAAGGACUCAUUUAAGGCAGGCUUACAGGACUUCAUUUACACUCCUGUAGACAUGACGAUGCAGUCGAUUAAAUCUAGAUGUCUUCGUUUCUUAAUUGAACCAAAUUAAGAUUAUGAAGUUUAUAGAAAAUGAAGGGUUUUGGGUUGGUUUUUUUUUUUUAAAUCGUGUACUCUUUCUUUGCUACGUCCACGAUCACUGCGAGGAAGUUUGAAGGUUAAUGGCGGUCGGUUGAUUCUCCGACCGCUGCACCGGAGUGAGGGGGAUCGUGCGGCGUGAAGUCUCAUUAACCACGAAGGCUCGGAGAAAUGGAAAUCAAAAAGCACUAAAAGGACAGGAGACGAGGUGAGGUUCAGCUAACUCGAGAAGAACGCCUCAAACUGUUCGGUGCUGUUGAAUCCGGGAUUCUGGUCAGGUGGCGUUGAUUCAUUUUCUAGAACAGCAGCUCUGAUAGUACUUCGAGGACAUUGCUGUUUCUAUGGUAACAGCUCGUUCACGGGGACUUGUACGGCGGACGCGCCACGUAAACAUAAAACGGUGUCCGCGUUUACGCGUCUUGAGGUGUCCGCGUUUACGUGUCUUUGAGGUGUCUGCGUUUACGCGUCUUUGCGGUGUCUGCGUCUUUGAGGCGUCUGCGUUUACGCGUCUUUGAGGCGUCUGCGUUUCAGCGUCUUUGAGGUGUCUGCAUCUCUGAGGCGUCCGCGUUUACGCGUCUUUGAGGCGUCUGCGUUUACGCGUCUUUGAGGUGUCUGCAUCUCUGAGGCGUCCGCGUUUACGCGUCUUUGAGGCGUCUGCGUUUCAGCAUCUUUGUGGUGUCUGCGUUUACGUGUCUUUGAGGCGUCUGCGUUUCAGCGUCUUUGAAGCGUCUGCAUCUCUGAGGCGUCCGCGUUUACGCAUCUUUGCGGUUUCCGCGUCUCCGAGGCGUCCGCGUUUACGCGUCUUCUCCCGGUUUCCGUUUCUCUGAGGGAACGAUUUCGUUUAUAGCUGCUAUAACGUAGGUGAGAACGCGAACUUGUUUCAGAGACGUUCCACGGCAUUUAAAAAAAAAUGUUUAAAAAAAUCUACUUUGUUUAUCCAUUGUUUUGCAUCGAACAAUUCUGCACUGAAAACAAGCGCUGGAUUUCUUUUUCUUCUCAUUAUUAUGAAUAAUAAGCUUUUUGCUCUGUUGCAUAAAUUGUAAUGAGUUUCUGACGGUUUAUUUAAUGGUUUGAAAAUAAAGCAUGUAUGAGUAAUGUUUCAUUUUAAAAAUAAAUAAAUAAAUAAAUAAAAAGCGAUCAGGAAAAACAAACUCUGUCCUUUUUAAUAGGAUAUUAUAUCCCCAAACCAAGCUGUAUAUAUAAAGCUAAUUAAUUAACGUUUCAUUUAGAAACUCAGAGGUAAUGAAAAACUAUUUUUUUUUUGUUAUAAAUUAAACAAUUAAGCAGAAAAUAUCACACAACCCAGCUACGCGUAGACGGACAGAGUGCGUGCGGUGGAAAAGUUCCUGUGUGAAACUUUUCCGCGCGUUUUUUCGUCUUUUACGGUCAUUUCUGGCGGAAAACGUUAUCGAUGUUGACGCGGGAUGGAAACGGAUCAUCCAAGCCGAGGUAUGUUCGGAGCUGGGAAUAUUUCUCUCCACGUUUCAUCUUCAAACUGAGAAACACGGGAGCUCGUUUCAAAACUGUCCAUUAAACCGGUGUAAUUGUGCUGCUGAACCCAGCCGGGCGCCGGUUAACGCUUCCAUCUCUGGAAAGUCAUUCCCAGUCGUUAGUGAUAAAUAACAGCGCUUACAAAAUCCUGCGCGAUUAAUAGACUUUUCGUUAAGGGGAAAUUGAUCCGACGUGUCAUUAACAGACGCCGACGCGAUUAAGACGAUUAAGGAAAUAGAUGCGUUUGCUUACAUUUUUUUUUGUUUGUUUGUUGUGUGUUUUUUUUUGUUAAUAAAAAAAAAAAAAACACGGCAGGCUUUAACCGACAGGCUUUUAGUCUGACUCCGUGACUGACAGACGUUCCAGCAGAGAUUACUGCCAGCAAGGAAAAAGAAAGAAAGAAAGAACAAAGGAAAGAAGGAAAGAAGAAGCAGUGGUCCAUCACUGCUCCAUCUCAGCGGUAAAGUACAGACUUUACACACGUGUCGGAGAGUGAAUGUCAGAUACGUGUCAGCGGAUGAAAAGGCUUUUCACACAGACGACGCUGGAAGCCGUGUCUCUCCUCUGGACCGCACCAAAAGAGAAUCUCAGAGUGCUGGAAAUGUGAGAGACGUGAGACGGCUCCGUGUACGGCGCCGGUUCUGUGACGCCGGAGGGGGAGGGGGAGGGGGUGUUGAUGGGGAACGAGUAUAAAUAUAAAACCCUGUGAAACGCAGAGUGUGAACGAGCGAGCGUGUGAUCUGCCUGUGAAUUUUAUAAAUAAACGAACGUCACAGCAUGGAGAACGGGGGAAACUCUGAGCUACGAGCGAGACGUAGCUCGGAUCCGAGACGAUCUGCUCUGUAGUCUAGAGCCGUAGCCAUGCGGUUCUCCGUCGCUUCGGCUAUCCGGCUGUCAGCAAAACUUCCCAGCAUCAUUAAAUAUAUAAAAGCGAGCUACCUCGGAGGACAGAGGCAGCGUUUUAGGGCAGAUACGAUCUGGCCUAUUUGCAAAGGCAGAAUAAGGACAGCUGUCUAAUGCAGGGCCUACUCGAGAUCUAGAAAAUUCUACAGUCAUGCAGUAAAAUUGUUUAAAAGAGUUUAUCUGGAAAAGGAAAUUCGGGAUACUUUUUUGGGGGUUUUUUUUUUUGGGGGGGGGGGUGUUCUGGAGGGGACGUCGGACGGCGUGGCGCGGGGACGUAAUGACGUGUACCGCUAAUCCCUCUAUGUUCUAUAACGUCUAAAACAGGGACAUGAUCAGAGUAUUCUAAAAGCGACUCAUGUACACACCUUAAUCAGAAUAUCAUACGUCUCAUUCAGAAUGAGGUCCAUAAUUAGAUUACCGCUGUCCGUGUACAUACAGUCAGUGAGUACGUUUACACGGACAGCGGUAAUCUAAUCAUCGACCUUAAUCUGAGUAAGAUGAUAAUCUGAUUAAGGUGUUUACACCUUACUCCUGUCAUGUUCCCGUUUGACAUGUUUUAGAACAUAAUUAGAUUAACAGCCCGCGUCAUUACGUCACCGCGCCACGCCGUCCGACGUCCCUCCAGAAUCUCACGUAUCGACAUACAGU